UAUCAGUUUAAAUUCAGUCCAAGUUCUGAUGAAGGAAAAAAAAUAAUCUAAUUUUUUGUAUUUCAUUGAAAGAAAUGGGAGUAAAAUGUGAGCAGCUUCUGGAAACAUAGAUCUGUGAAUCCCACUGAUUUCAACCGGUUCCGUUUUACAGUCCAAACAAUCCGACCAGUCAGGCAGAAGUACUGAAAUAGUUUAUUUCUGUUUUUUGGACAUAAAACAAAGAUUACCAGUCUGAGGUUGCUACGGUGACCGUUACACGAAAACAUCACUGCAAUUAUUGGAUUCAGAAAAAACAAACACUGCAACAGUGAGACAAUAUGUGCAAUAAAUGUUCAAACACUCUUCAGUGCUGACUGACAGACGUCUGAGUAAAUGUUAGAAAAAUACGGGCGCCGUUUUCAUCAUGCUGCAUCCGCCCGGAUCAGAACCAGCGCCUGAUCCUACGCUACGGGUUCUACACAGAACUUAUUUUACUUUGAAAAGUCCCGAUCCGGUUCUGGUCUCUUUACAUUUCAUAAACAAAAGUCAGCUUUGCUUUGUCUGAAGAUUUGAUUUAAAUCAUUAAUUUAACCAAUCGUACCUCAGAUUUAUUAACGGUUUCAGUCCAGACGUGCUGCCGGACUGAUUAUCGGUCAGAUCUACUGGACAAUUCCAACAAGAUGAUUCAUAUUUACGUUGUUUUUUACAUAAAGUAGAUAAAUAUUAACUGGUACCAUAAAAGCACAAUAAAAAAUGCUUUACCUCCAAUUCCAAAUGAAACGUGAUUAUAAAUAACGCUGAGAUGCAGGUGAUUCUCUGAAGUCUGUGCCUUUUGGGUCUCAGGUUGCUAAAAAUAUCCCACAAAAAUUGUUUUUGAACACUGCAUCUACUGAACCUCCAAGAAAAUGUGUCUCCCCACCUUAUGCAUGAAAUCCCAGACAUUAAUACGAAUUUCUUAAGUUGCUUUAAAUUCAACCCCGUAACGGGACAAUUUGAUUCCUGUCAGUAUAACUGCAUAACAUAAUUAAACUAAUUCUUUCUGACAUCACCUGUCCCUGAUUAAAUUAACUAAUUGUAAGUAUAUUUUAUUUGAUUCUGAAUCAUAAUAAUUGGACUGAUAAGUAGAAUAUGGCAACUUGAUGUAAAAGCGCUUCUCAUGUUUUUGAAUCAUUCUUUAAACUUUGCAUACAGUCCAACAAAUAUUAGUCUAAUAUUUUGCUGUUAUUAUAGAAAAAAUUACAACAAUGUAUCGCGUUGCGGGUUGAAUCCACCGGCUGGCUUCACAACAGUCCAUCCCUGGAACAAAACCACUGUUUCAGAAACGGGGUUGAAGAUUUUCACUAAAAGUUGCCAUAAGUUCAAAUCAGCUGGGGUAUGGAGCAACAAACAAGGAAUUAAUAUACUUUUCAAAGACCAUUCUUUACUUUUUCCCAAACAACAAUAAAUAUAAUUUACAUGCAUAACAGAGCUGAAAGGCUGAGCUGGACGAAUAACCAAAUAUAGGUAAAAAACUUUCCUAACAUUUAAUCUCUUUACAGUGUGAGCAGGAAGAGACUUCAGUGAUGUCACUUCCAGGGUGCAGAGGAAAUUGGACUGAACCAUUAUAAUUAGUAUGCUGUUACAGGGUUGAACAAAACUGGAGGGACAGGAUUAAAAAGUGCUAUUUUAUAUAUAAUUCAUAUAUUUUUCUCAUGUUUCUUUUAUUUGGGUUAAACUAGACCAAAAAAUGUUUAUAUUAGUAGAAAUAACUUGCAGUUACUGGAUAUUUUUAUUUGUUUUAUAUUAAUUGAAAAAUGAACAUUGGUCAGUGGGGACAUGCUCGUCUGGCUGAUUUCUACACUUCAACAAGCCAUAAAUUUUUUUAAAACAUGAUUUUUAAAAUAUAUUUGCAUAUUAUAUUACCAAAACACAUGGAUGUUUCCAUUUCUUGAUUUUCUCUAAAAAAAUUUGUUUGCAUUAUACGAAAAUCUUUGAGAUAAACCUGAGACACAAAAUGCACCGAAUUCGGAGAAUCACCCUGCAGCGGUGGGCACCGCUAGCUACAGAGCUAGCUACGCUAACCGUAAAGCAAUAAUUGGAAACAUUGGUUCCACUAAUGCUGAAGCGCUACAUCAACACAUUAUUCAGUGGAAGCUAAUGCUAACAUGCUACAUCAACACAUUAUUCAGUGGAAGCUAAUGCUAACAUGCUAACUUCAACAAUGCCAACAGUAAAAUGAGUGCUGUAGCAUAUCAUAGCGCCUACUGGGCUAAUUGUGUGGCCUUCCUGUACAGUUUGCGCUUCAGGAAGUGAUUCUUUGAAACAGUUUUACAGUGGUUGAGUUUUGCUUGUUAACUUUGUUCCAACAUUGAACUUUAUUCAACUGAAAUUGACCAACCAGUUGAGUAAAUUAUUGCUUUAGAAAUUAUCUGGAAAAGUUAAUUUAGGAGAAGCUAAGUGCGCUAAAUGUUUUCGAAGUUAGCAAAAGCAUUAAAGAGCAAAAAUAAUAAUUAGCUUUGCUAUUAGCGCAUUAGCAGAAGGUCACCUGUGCUGUGCCCUCUGAACCAAACACUUUUAAAUUUAUUCUUUUUAAGCUUUUUAGCAAAAGUUUUUACUGUUUACCUCCAAAUUGAUGCGUGUGAGGAGUUUAAGAAAACAAUCAAAAUAAAAAUGAAUUAUUUACUGGCAGCUGUAGCUGAUUUAAAGCCGAUUCUUUGCUGAGUCAUCUGAUAUUUUUCACCAAAAAACUGAUUCAGUCUUUGGGUUUUUCACAUCUGAAUGGUUCUUAAUGUUGGACUUGGAAAGAAAAUUAUAAAAAAAAAUCAUCCAAAGUUUUUCUUUGAGUCUAGAACUGCAAACAUAAAGAGGGAAACCGGAUCGGGACUUUUCCUGCUGCCGUCGCAGGUAACUGGAGAAAUCAGCUGAAACAUUUAAACAUGCAGCGAGUGAGCUACUGGAGCGGGGUGAGAGCGUGCAACGUGACGGAGCGCCGUGACUUUAAAUGUUCCAGCAGGAAAUGGCUCUGAUAUGUGGCUCAGCUGCAACCAGAAAACAGGAAACAAGAAGAAGAAACACCGAAACAUUAUAAACGAUUCGAUAAAAUCGAUUUGUUGUUCCAGAGAGUCGGAAAAUCCUGGAUCUGUUUCCAUGUCUGAGCGAAUCCACAGCAUCUAUCAGAAGGUUUGUGGUUCAGUUCCCUGAGCAAAAAGACUCCUAACGAACCGUCCUGCUGAUGUCAUCACUGUGAAGCGACGAUGUGAUCACUGUGGCGCAGUGAUGACAUCAUCGCCGUGCGCAGCGUGGAAACGGUUCCUCCGCUGGAUGGUUUCGGUCUGGAUGAAUCAACAAAGUGAAGCAUGCAGGAGAGAAAAAGUCUAAACACCAAAAUAUUCACAUCGUCCAGAAGUUCAGCGUUUACACUGGAUCCACAAAUUAGAUUCACAUCGUCACGGAAACAGGACAUGAGUCAUGAAGUCCUGCCUUAAAGGGACAGUUCAGGGUUCUGCAGGGCAGGUGUGAGGAGGCAGUAUCUUACCCGUCUCUGAACCAGUUCAUCAGUCGGCCAUCUUGAAACAACUCUGAAAGCGGUUUAUGUAAAAACUCGAUUCCAGGUUUUAGGACCCGGCAGUGAGCCGGAGAGCCGGGUCGGAAUCGGGCUCUGAUUGGCCGGUUCCUCAUGGAGGAGGGUUCAGACCAGAUGCUGCUAAAUGUCUGUAGCAUGAAUAUUAAACAUUUGCAGGAUUUUGUUUAAGUCAUAUUUCUGUUAAUGCUUAAUUUUCUAAACAUAAUAUUCACACCUUGUUUACUGAUGUUUUCUUUGUUUUAUAUUCAGAAACAUAAAUUAAGAAUUAAACCAACAAUGUUGUUAAAUAAAAUAAACGUUUUGACCAAAUAACAUGAUUACAUUUUUCUGUUAGGGACUUAAACAGUUUAUGAUCAGAUAUUGCAUCAUUAAUGUUAAUCUGAUAUUUCAUAACUUUUUAUUGGUAACAUUAAAACCUGCAGUGAUAAAAAGUGAAGAU